rnacentral:rRNA from 1 species
UACAGAGGUCCCAAGCGUUGUUCGGAUUCACUGGGCGUAAAGGGCGCGUAGGUGGUGGGGUAAGUCGGAUGUGAAAGCUCGGAGCUCAACUCCGAAACGGCAUUGGAAACUACCCUGCUAGAGGAUUGGAGGGGGGACUGGAAUACUUGGUGUAGCAGUGAAAUUCGUAGAUAUCAAGCGGAACACCGGUGGCGAAGGCGGCCUUCUGGACAGUGACUGACGCUGAGACGCGAAAGCGUGGGGAGCAAACAGG